CAGUCGCCGCGGUAAUACGUAGGGUGCAAGCGUUAAUCGGAAUUACUGGGCGUAAAGCGUGCGCAGGCGGUUAUAUAAGUCAGAUGUGAAAUCCCCGGGCUCAACCUGGGAACUGCAUUUGAGACUGUAUGGCUAGAGUGUGUCAGAGGGGGGUAGAAUUCCACGUGUAGCAGUGAAAUGCGUAGAUAUGUGGAGGAAUAUCGUUGGCGAAGGCAGCCCCCUGGGAUAACACUGACGCUCAUGCACGAAAGCGUGGGGAGCAAACAGGAUUAGAUACCCGAGUAGUCCCUGUCUCUUAUAA
rnacentral:rRNA from 1 species